CGUGCUUAACACAUGCAAGUCGAACGGAAAGGCCCUGCUUUUGUGGGGUGCUCGAGUGGCGAACGGGUGAGUAACACGUGAGUAACCUGCCCUUGACUUUGGGAUAACUUCAGGAAACUGGGGCUAAUACCGGAUAGGAGCUCCUGCUGCAUGGUGGGGGUUGGAAAGUUUCGGCGGUUGGGGAUGGACUCGCGGCUUAUCAGCUUGUUGGUGGGGUAGUGGCUUACCAAGGCUUUGACGGGUAGCCGGCCUGAGAGGGUGACCGGCCACAUUGGGACUGAGAUACGGCCCAGACUCCUACGGGAGGCAGCAGUGGGGAAUAUUGCACAAUGGGCGGAAGCCUGAUGCAGCAACGCCGCGUGCGGGAUGACGGCCUUCGGGUUGUAAACCGCUUUCGCCUGUGACGAAGCGUGAGUGACGGUAAUGGGUAAAGAAGCACCGGCUAACUACGUGCCAGCAGCCGCGGUGAUACGUAGGGUGCGAGCGUUGUCCGGAUUUAUUGGGCGUAAAGGGCUCGUAGGUGGUUGAUCGCGUCGGAAGUGUAAUCUUGGGGCUUAACCCUGAGCGUGCUUUCGAUACGGGUUGACUUGAGGAAGGUAGGGGAGAAUGGAAUUCCUGGUGGAGCGGUGGAAUGCGCAGAUAUCAGGAGGAACACCAGUGGCGAAGGCGGUUCUCUGGGCCUUUCCUGACGCUGAGGAGCGAAAGCGUGGGGAGCGAACAGGCUUAGAUACCCUGGUAGUCCACGCUGUAAACGGUGGGUACUAGGUGUGGGGUCCAUUCCACGGGUUCCGUGCCGUAGCUAACGCUUUAAGUACCCCGCCUGGGGAGUACGGCCGCAAGGCUAAAACUCAAAGGAAUUGACGGGGCCCCGCACAAGCGGCGGAGCAUGCGGAUUAAUUCGAUGCAACGCGUAGAACCUUACCUGGGUUUGACAUGGAUCGGGAGUGCUCAGAGAUGGGUGUGCCUCUUUUGGGGUCGGUUCACAGGUGGUGCAUGGCUGUCGUCAGCUCGUGUCGUGAGAUGUUGGGUUAAGUCCCGCAACGAGCGCAACCCUUGUUCACUGUUGCCAGCACGUUAUGGUGGGGACUCAGUGGAGACCGCCGGGGUCAACUCGGAGGAAGGUGGGGAUGACGUCAAGUCAUCAUGCCCCUUAUGUCCAGGGCUUCACGCAUGCUACAAUGGCUGGUACAGAGAGUGGCGAGCCUGUGAGGGUGAGCGAAUCUCGGAAAGCCGGUCUCAGUUCGGAUUGGGGUCUGCAACUCGACCUCAUGAAGUCGGAGUCGCUAGUAAUCGCAGAUCAGCAACGCUGCGGUGAAUACGUUCCCGGGGCUUGUACACACCGCCCGUCAAGUCAUGAAAGUUGGUAACACCCGAAGCCGGUGGCCUAACCGUUGUGGGGGAGCCGUCGAAGGUGGGACUGGUGAUUAGG
rnacentral:rRNA from 1 species